rnacentral:misc_RNA from 1 species
UGAGUAUUGAAAUUAAUUAGGCGCAUAGCAGAUGUGGUAUGAUGCAUGUAACCUAGAAGAAAAUUUUUUGAAAUUCAAUGUUCUAAUGAACAACUUUCAUGCUUCCGCUCCUUCAGAUAUCUUUUGGUAAAAUUGGUUUCAACUGAUAAUUGAACUCGAGACUUUAUUUUUCAAUAUCAAUAAUACUCUCUUGCAGUUGCAGUUGCUUAUUUAGGAGGGCAGAAAGUAAUAACAUAGCGAGAAGCCCUGCAUUUGUUAAGGCUGCUAGACUCAUCAAAAGCAUAACUGUAAGCCUUUGGGCAUAUUGCCUUGAAGAGAUGUGCAAAAAGGGUUGGCUUGCAAGUCUUUGGAUUUCCAUACUCCCCUGUGCAGCAAUACUUAGCCGAUUGCAUAGCCAAGCAAGCACUUUUGCACCCCACUAUUUUACCAUCUCUUUUCACUUCCAGAGCAGAUGGACAGCAAAUGUUGACAUCAACCUUACAUGAUGCUACUCCACAUCCUAUUCCACCCCCAACUGGUGCCAUUGAAACUGGCAAAUUGAACCCAUCAACCAAACUUACAUCAUAGAAGUGCAAGGGAGAAGUAGAAGAUCCCAGAGUCAUUUCCACGAUAGUUGCUGGGGGUGCACCUCCGGCGCCUUGGCAGUGAAGUAAGCCAGAGCAAUCUCCUGUGUCACAUGACCCUUUACCAUUUUUAUCAAAGGAACAUCCUUGCCUACCCCAUAUCCUCCCUGACCACUUUUGGGGUAAAUCAAGGACUAUUUCCUCUCCGCUGCCCAGAUGAAAACCACCAUCUUUGGGAGUUUGGUGACCUGCACCUCCAAGAACUCCAGGCCAUAUGCUUUCAUUGCAGUUGUUUACGAUAAUGAGCUGUCCCCCAAUUGCAGAGGAGGAAGAAGCCAAAUGGAAGAGAAGAAGGGAGACAAGAACUGAAGCAGAAGAAGAAGAUGGCAGCAGCAUUUUCUUUUAUUCUUUGGAUUCAAUUUAGAAGAUGUUACUUCAAUUUGUAGUAGAGUGGGAGCGUGACAGGAAACGCUAAGCUUCUUAAGGUGAAAACACUUAGCGACCCCUUGCUUUUCUUUUCACUUUCACUUUCACGAGAAGUAUA